GACGUAGGGCGCGAGCGUUGUCCGGAUUUACUGGGCGUAAAGCGCACGUAGGCGGAUCGUUAAGUCGGGGGUGAAAUCCUGGAGCUCAACUCCAGAACUGCCUUCGAUACUGGCGAUCUUGAGUCCGGAAGAGGUGAGUGGAACUCCUAGUGUAGAGGUGGAAUUCGUAGAUAUUAGGAAGAACACCAGUGGCGAAGGCGGCUCACUGGUCCGGUACUGACGCUGAGGUGCGAAAGCGUGGGGAGCAAACAGG
rnacentral:rRNA from 1 species